rnacentral:lncRNA from 1 species
CUCAAUUUCAAGGUCACAAACCAAGGACCUUAAAUCAAAAGACCCUAGGUCUUUAAUAUGUUUGGUUAAUGAGUAAUACCACUUUACGCGUAAUUCUAAAUGUAAGAUGGACAAAAACUCCCAUUUAUUGUAUGCGCACCCUUUCAACCAAAAUAUACAAGUAAGGACAUGUCGCAACUAACAAUUUUAGGAAAAAAAUAUUUGUCGAUAUGUCAUACGGUAUUUGAAAAUAAGUGAAAAUAAGCCAAAAUCAAAAUUUUAGAAUAUGACCUUGACCUUUGACCUUGACCUUAUUUUCAUUUUUUUGGACCAAGGAUCUCAAAUCAAGAGACCCUAGGUCUCUAUCACUUAUGGUUUACCAGUUAGAAACGCAUAUCACCUAUAUCAAAUACAUAAGGGGGAAUAACUCUCAUAUGGAGUCUCCGGAUAGCUUCGGUCAAAAUUAAAAUCCUAAUCCUGAAGAUGUAACGAGCAAUUUGGUAAAAUAAAUUUGUCGUAAUCUUUUACGGUUGCGAAGGAGUAGUGGCCACAAGAAAAACAGUGUUUGGGGAGAUAACUCUUACAACGUAAAGUAUUUUGUUACGCAGUUGUAAAUUUUUAAAGCGUAUAAACUAUACGAUAUCAUAUUCCAAAUAUCUAAGCGACAUCUUUUGAAACAUCAAUACUACGCAAGAAAAAAUUAGGCGGAAGAAAAAAAAAAAAAAAAAAUAAUUAAAAACCAAUUGUUCAAAGAACAAUUGAAGGU